rnacentral:misc_RNA from 1 species
CCCGGAUCCCUCCUUGCUUACAUAGCUCUCUAUCUUCCACCGUUCACUUGCAUAAACAAUCUCUCUCUUCUUCCGAUUAGCUUACAAAAAGUUUAUUUAAUUCGAUCCUCUUUAUUGUUUGUUUUGCUAACAAUGGCGUUAGAUCAGGCAGUUGAAUUCGAGGACUACUUUCCAUCGAUGAUGGAGGGAUUGGGAGCUGAAGGAUUUAUUAUGGAAUUAUGUAAUGGGUUUCGCUUGCUAAUGGAUGGCGAGAAGGGAUUGAUUACGUUUGAAAGCUUGAAGAGAAACAGUAUUUUGUUGGGGUUGCAGGACAUGAGGGAUGAUGAGCUUGUGUGCAUGUUGAUGGAAGGUGAUUUGGAUGGAGAUGGAGCUAUAAAUCAGAUGGAGUUUUGCAUUCUCAUGUUUAGACUGAGUCCAGGGAUGAUGGUUGGACCCACACAAUGGAUGGAUUAUGAAUUUGAUGUAAAUGAAAUGUCGUAGCCAUAUCUUAAUUAACUAUGUUCCUUCCUGUUAUUUAUUUUCCUGUUUAAGCAAUUAAUGUUUCUCAUGUAAUCUUAGUGUAAUGCCAUGCUAUGAAAAUAAUUGGACUUGCAGUUUUUAAAGAUUUAUGACCUAAUGUAGUUAACAAGCUGCGAAACUAUAUACUUAUAGCAUCAUCUUCUGAAGUAUCAGAUGAAUGUCUUUAUGGGUCAUUGUGUGCAGCUAGUUUCAGAAUUCUGGACAUAUAGCAAUGAAGUUGCUUUGUUUUUU